rnacentral:rRNA from 1 species
AUUGAACGCUGGCGGCAUGCCUUACACAUGCAAGUCGAACGGUAGCGGGCCUUCGGGUGCCGACGAGUGGCGAACGGGUGAGUAAUGUAUCGGAACGUACCUUUCAGUGGGGGAUAACGUAGCGAAAGUUACGCUAAUACCGCAUAUUCUGUGAGCAGGAAAGCAGGGGAUCGCAAGACCUUGCGCUGAUUGAGCGGCCGAUAUCAGAUUAGCUAGUUGGUGAGGUAAAAGCUUACCAAGCCGACGAUCUGUAGCUGGUCUGAGAGGACGAUCAGCCACCCUGGGACGUAGACACGGCACAGAUUCCUACGGGAUGCAGCAGUGGGGAAUUGUGGACAAUGGGCGAAAGCCUGAUCUAGCAAUGCCGCGUGCAGGAUGAAGGCCUUCGGGUUGUAAACUGCUUUUGUACGGAACGAAAAGCCCCGGGUUAAUACCCUGGGGUCAUGACGGUACCGUAAGAAUAAGCACCGGCUAACUACGUGCCAGCCGCCGCGGUAAGAC